GUGGGGAAUCUUGCGCAAUGGGCGAAAGCCUGACGCAGCCAUGCCGCGUGAAUGAUGAAGGUCUUAGGAUUGUAAAAUUCUUUCACCGGGGACGAUAAUGACGGUACCCGGAGAAGAAGCUCCGGCUAACUUCGUGCCAGCAGCCGCGGUAAUACGAAGGGGGCUAGCGUUGCUCGGAAUUACUGGGCGUAAAGGGCGCGUAGGCGGACAGCUUAGUCAGAGGUGGAAGCCCAGGGCUCAACCUUGGAAUUGCCUUUGAUACUGGCUGUCUUGAGUUUGGGAGAGGUGAGUGGAACUCCGAGUGUAGAGGUGAAAUUCGUAGAUAUUCGGAAGAACACCAGUGGCGAAGGCGACUCACUGGCCCAAUACUGACGCUGAGGCGCGAGAGCGUGGGGAGCAAACAGGAUUAGAAACCCGGGUAGUCC
rnacentral:rRNA from 1 species